rnacentral:rRNA from 1 species
AAUAGAUACCCCGGUAGUCCACGCCCUAAACGAUGUCAACUAGCUGUUGGGGUCUUCGGACCUUGGUAGCGCAGCUAACGCGUGAAGUUGACCGCCUGGGGAGUACGGUCGCAAGAUUAAAACUCAAAGGAAUUGACGGGGACCCGCACAAGCGAUGGAUGAUGUGGAUUAAUUCGAUGCAACGCGAAAAACCUUACCUACCCUUGACAUGUCUGGAAUGCCGAAGAGAUUUGGCAGUGCUCGCAAGAGAACCGGAACACAGGUGCUGCAUGGCUGUCGUCAGCUCGUGUCGUGAGAUGUUGGGUUAAGUCCCGCAACGAGCGCAACCCUUGUCAUUAGUUGCUACGAAAGGGCACUCUAAUGAGACUGCCGGUGACAAACCGGAGGAAGGUGGGGAUGACGUCAAGUCCUCAUGGCUCUUAUGGGUAGGGCUUCACACGUCAUACAAUGGUCGGGACAGAGGGUCGCCAACCCGCGAGGGGGAGCCAAUCCCAGAAACCCGAUCGUAGUCCGGAUCGCAGUCUGCAACUCGAC